GACGAACGCUGGCGGCAUGCUUAACACAUGCAAGUCGAACGAGACCUUCGGGCCUAGGUGCGCACGGGGGCGGAAGGCGGGGGAACCUGCCCUUAGGUUCGCUAUAACUGCCCGAAAGGGGUGCUAAUACCGGAUAAUGUCUUAGGGCCUAAGAUUUAUCGCCGUGGGCUGGGCCCGCGUUGGAUUAGCUAGUUGGUAGGGUAAAAGCCUACCAAGAGGACGAUCCAUAGCUGGUCUGUGAGGAUGACCAGCCACACUGAGACUGAGCCACGGCCCAGACUCCUGCGGGAGGCAGGAGUAGGGCAUAUUGGACGGUGGGCGAAUGCGGUCCAGCCGUGCCGCGUAGGUGGUGAAGGCCUUAGGGUUGUAAUGCUCUUUUACCCGAAGUGAUAAUGACGGUACCGGGAGAAUAAGCACCGGCUAACUCCGUG
rnacentral:rRNA from 1 species